rnacentral:ncRNA from 1 species
UGUCUCCUCCACCCUCCUCCUUUGGUGGAUUCAGCCCGGACCUCUGCGUCCGGGCUUUUUUUU